GUCGGGGUAGCUCAGUGGCAGAGCGUUGGACUGAAAAUCCAAAGGUCGUUGGUUCAAGCCCAACCCUCGACA
rnacentral:tRNA from 1 species